UAGUUAACCUACCCAACAGUGGGGAAUAACCCCUCGAAAGAGGAGCUAAUACCGCAUACGCUCUCUUGUGAUAGCAGGAGAGGAAACGCCGCAAGGUGGCUGAUGGAUGGGACUGCGGCGGAUUAGCUAGAUGGUGGGGUAAAGGCCUACCAUGGCGACGAUCCGUAGCUGGUCUGAGAGGACGACCAGCCACACUGGGACUGAGAUACGGCCCAG
rnacentral:rRNA from 1 species